UCGGGAAUCUUGCGCAAUGGGCGAAAGCCUGACGCAGCAACGUCGUGUGGGUGAUGAAGGCCUUCGGGUCGUAAAGCCCUGUUGUUGGGGACGAAGGGCUCUCGGGGUUAAUAGUCCCGAAGCCUGACGGUACCCUCCGAGGAAGCCCCGGCUAACUACGUGCCAGCAGCCGCGGUAAUACGUAGGGGGCGAGCGUUGUCCGGAAUCAUUGGGCGUAAAGAGCGUGUAGGCGGUUCGGUAAGUCCGCCGUGAAAACCCAGGGCUCAACCCUGGACUUGCGGUGGAUACUGUCGGGCUAGAGGAUGGUAGAGGGGAGUGGAAUUCCCGGUGUAGCGGUGAAAUGCGCAGAUAUCGGGAGGAACACCAGCAGCGAAGGCGGCUCCCUGGGCCAUUCCUGACGCUGAGACGCGAAAGCUAGGGGAGCGAACAG
rnacentral:rRNA from 1 species